rnacentral:rRNA from 1 species
GGAGAAUUGAGGGGGGCUGCUCCUAGUACGAGAGGACCGGAGUGGACGCAUCACUGGUGUUCGGGUUGUCAUGCCAAUGGCAUUGCCCGGUAGCUAAAUGCGGAAGAGAUAAGUGCUGAAAGCAUCUAAGCACGAAACUUGCCCCGAGAUGAGUUCUCCCUGAGACUUUAAGUCUCCUGAAGGAACGUUAAAGACGAUGACGUUGAUAGGUCGGGUGUGUAAGCGUAGCGAUACGUUGAGCUAACCGAUACUAAUGAACCGUGAGGCUUAACCUUACAACGCCGAAG